GUCUACGUGUCGGCUGCGAUGGGGGCAAUGUUGUGUGUUUGUAACUAAUAUUGCACUUGUCCCGGCCUAUGUGUGGAUG
rnacentral:pre_miRNA from 1 species